rnacentral:ncRNA from 1 species
AUAUAUUUUAUUUUAGUUAAAAAAUUUACUUUAAGAUUAUUUUACAUGUAAAGUUUUAUAUGAAGUUUUUAUUUUUUAAAUAAAGAUAAAAAAUAAUUUAUUCGCAGUAAUUAAUAUUAUAAAUUUUUAAAAGAAAUUUUGAAAUAGUAAUUUUUAUAUGUAUUGGUAAAAUUUGUGCCAGCUACCGCGGUUAUACAAAUAAUGCAAGUAAAUAUUAUAAGUAUUAGUUAAAUUUAAUUUAAAUAAAAUAAAAAUUUAUUUUUUAGGUGAAAUUUUAAAAUAGAUUUUAUUUUAUAAAUAAAAUAUAUUGAAGCUAUAAAAUUUUAAAUAAAAACUAGGAUUAGAUACCCUAUUAUUUAAAUAUUAAAAUUGAAAUGCUAGAGUAGUAUUAGUUAUAGUCUUGAAACUUAAAAAAUUUGGCGGUGUUUUAGUCUAUUCAGAGGAACCUGUUCUAUAAUCGAUAGUCCACGUUUAACUAUACUUAAUUUUGUAAAAUUUGUAUAUCGCCGUCAUCAGAAUAUCUUAGGAGAGAAAUAAUUUUCUUAAAUUUUUAUUAAUAAUGAUGUCAGGUCAAGGUGCAGUUUAUGAUUAAGAAGAAAUGGGUUACAAUAAAUAUUAUUUAUAAUGGAUAAAUUUUUGAAAUAAAAUUUUGAAGGUGGAUUUGAUAGUAAAUUUAAUUUUAUUAAAAUUAAUUGAUUAAAGCUCUAAAACAUGCACACAUCGCCCGUCGCUCUCAUUAUUUUUAUUAAAAUGAGAUAAGUCGUAACAUAGUAGAUGUACUGGAAAGUGUAUCUAGAAUGA